AACGAACGCUGGCGGUAGGCCUAACACAUGCAAGUCGAGCGAUCUCUUCGGAGAUAGCGGCGGACGGGUGAGUAACGCGUGGGAACAUACCAGAGGUACGGAACAACAGUUGGAAACGACUGCUAAUACCGUAUACGCCCUACGGGGGAAAGAUUUAUCGGAGAAGGAUUGGCCCGCGUUAGAUUAGAUAGUUGGUGGGGUAAUGGCCUACCAAGUCUACGAUCUAUAGCUGGUUUGAGAGGAUGAUCAGCAACACUGGGACUGAGACACGGCCCAG
rnacentral:rRNA from 1 species